AGUAGCAGAUGCUUGAUGUUGCCGUGCUGUCGCCCACUGAGUACGUACUGGGUGGUGUCUGCGGAGCUCUGGCGAACCAGGAAGUCACCGUCUUUGAUCAGCAGCUUCUCCGCCUGAAACAAACACACAAUGAACAUCUGAGCUUACAGCCAACAGCUACUAGAUAGUUGUCUCCAAUAGGAAUUCACAUCAACAGACUUUUGAAAUCAACUAUAGGUUACCGAUGACUCAUCACUGACAAGUGUCACUACACAGUGACCACAGUGAAAUGCUUGUACACAGAGACACAAUAUAAUGGAUCUGGGGAAGGGGCAGGGGCAUCAAAGAACAAAUACACAGACUAAGCCUUUAAAAAAUGGUUAAUCCCACAUAGCACCAACCUCCUUCCUACUCAGGUUGCCAUGGAACCAUUCCUCAAACAGUGGCGAGAUACUGGCCUCUGGCUUCACAUCUGCACCAUGGCUGUGACCAUUGGGCAUCGCUGAGUGGAAAGGCUCUGUGGACAUAGCAGAACAGAUGAAACAUGGAGGAGGACAAGCGACAAAAAGCAAGCACAAAAAGCUCACCAUAUUUGGCUAAGGCAAGCUUAGUAAAUUCUGAAAAUUGCAUAUUUGGACCAAUUAAAAAUAUCUUUAUUGAAAUAUACAAAGUAGUACUUUGUUAAUAUAAAUUAUACUUGAGUUGUCUCAGUACAUAGUGGUUCACUAUUCUUCUGUUUUGAUUGUUAAAUGUUCAUUUUCUGUCAGUCACAUGAUAUUAUGGCCACCAA